rnacentral:rRNA from 1 species
UACCAGCUCCUCGAGUGGUCGGGGCGAUUAUUGGGCCUAAAGCAUCCGUAGCCGGUUCCGUAGGUCCUCUGUUAAAUCCAACCGCUUAACGGUUGACAUGCAGAGGAUACCGCGAGACUAGGAGGCGGGAGAGGCGGACGGUACUCCGCGUGUAGGGGUAAAAUCCUUUGAUCCGCGGAAGACCACCAGUGGCGAAGGCGGUCCGCCAGAACGCGCUCGGACGGUGAGGGAUGAAAGCUGGGGGAGCGAACCGGG